rnacentral:rRNA from 1 species
UACAGAGGGUGCAAGCGUUAAUCGGAAUUACUGGGCGUAAAGCGUGCGUAGGCGGUUAUCUAAGUCGGGUGUGAAAGCCCCGGGCUCAACCUGGGAAUUGCGUUCGAUACUGGAUAGCUAGAGUUCGGCAGAGGGAAGCGGAAUUUCUGGUGUAGCGGUGAAAUGCGUAGAUAUCAGAAGGAACAUCAGUGGCGAAAGCGGCUUCCUGGACCAGAACUGACGAUCAGGCACGAAAGCGUGGGGAGCAAACAGG